CAGCAGCCGCGGUAAAACGUAGGGUGCGAGCGUUGUCCGGAAUUACUGGGCGUAAAGAGCUCGUAGGCGGUUUGUCGCGUCGUCUGUGAAAUUCUGCAACUCAAUUGCAGGCGUGCAGGCGAUACGGGCAGACUUGAGUACUACAGGGGAGACUGGAAUUCCUGGUGUAGCGGUGAAAUGCGCAGAUAUCAGGAGGAACACCGGUGGCGAAGGCGGGUCUCUGGGUAGUAACUGACGCUGAGGAGCGAAAGCGUGGGGAGCGAACAGGAUUAGAUACCCCAGUAGUCCCUGUCUCUUAUAC
rnacentral:rRNA from 1 species